GUGCCAGCCGCCGCGGUAAGACGAACCGUACGAACGUUAUUCGGAAUCACUGGGCUUAAAGGGUGCGUAGGCGGCGCAGAAAGUAGGGUGUGAAAUCCCUCGGCUUAACCGAGGAACUGCGCUCUAAACUACUGUGCUCGAGUGAGAUAGAGGUGAGCGGAACUUAGGGUGGAGCGGUGAAAUGCGUUGAUAUCCUAAGGAACACCGGUGGCGAAAGCGGCUCACUGGAUCUCUUCUGACGCUGAGGCACGAAAGCUAGGGUAGCAAACGGGAUUAGAAACCCUCGUAGUCC
rnacentral:rRNA from 1 species